AGCUGCAGACUGGGCCCCGGACAGAUCCCCAAGAGACGCACUAUAUACGGAUGAUCCAGACUGCCCAUGGACAGCAUGUGCUGCGUACGGGAGGAGAGAGGGGAAAAGCUGAUAUAAGUGACAGUAACACAUGUGCCAAAGACUCCUGAUCCCAGAAGCUUUCCCUUGCGCAGUUCUGAAGCUCUCAGAAUCCGAGCGUGGACCUUCGUCCCCUUCUCACCUGGAUCCAGCGGCUCGAUGCUCUGUGGGAGAAUCAGAGUUCCUGUUUACUGCAACUGCACAGCUUCAAAAGUAUGUGGACACCUGACCAUCUCACUUAUGUGAGGCAACAAUAGGCAUUCAUAUGAAAAUGCAUUUACUUUGUGUCUGACCACUUCAUAUAUUCCAUUAUAAAUAUUAGAAUAUGGGAAUUUGUACCCAUUUAGUGAAAUUGGAAUCGGUUAGGCACUGAUGCUGAAUAAGAAGACCUGGCUUGUAAAAUAAGGUCAGGGUAACUAUUUUCAUAAUUUUCAUAUAAUCAUUUUUUAUGACCGGCUUGUGUAUUUAGGUAAAUCGUGAAAAUUGUGCCCCUCAGAGUUAUUAAUUGUAUUUACUGUCUACUAUUUGUUUUGCCAAAGAUCUUUGUGAGUUGGAUUUAAGACAUUUUAAGGCCUUUUUCUGCAGAUACCCUGUAUGUAGGCUACUUUUAUAAAAGAAAUCCCAGCAAAUACUAAUAAAAAAACUAAUACAUUCA